UACGUAGGGAGCAAGCGUUGUUCGGAUUUACUGGGCGUAAAGGGCGCGUAGGCGGCAAUUCAAGUCAGCUGUGAAAUCUCCGGGCUUAACUCGGAACGGUCAGCUGAUACUGCUUUGCUAGAGUGCAGAAGGGGCAAUCGGAAUUCUUGGUGUAGCGGUGAAAUGCGUAGAUAUCAAGAGGAACACCUGAGGUGAAGACGGGUUGCUGGGCUGACACUGACGCUGAGGCGCGAAAGUGUGGGGAUCAAACAGG
rnacentral:rRNA from 1 species